rnacentral:rRNA from 1 species
UACAGAGGUCUCAAGCGUUGUUCGGAUUCAUUGGGCGUAAAGAGCGUGUAGGCGGCCAGACAGGUCAGCUGUGAAAACUCGAGGCUCAACCUCGAGACGUCGGUUGAAACCGUCUGGCUAGAGUCCGGAAGAGGAGAGUGGAAUUCCUGGUGUAGCGGUGAAAAUGCGCAGAUAUCAGGAAGAACACCAGUGGCGAAGGCGACUACCUGGCCUGUUCUUGACGCUGAGGCGCGAAAGCUAGGGGAGCAAACGGG